rnacentral:lncRNA from 1 species
CAUUUAACUUAUUUCCACGAGCAAAUUCCCAUGAAGACUGAACCUCACAGGGGUUCUGCAUUUGGUGGGUACCCUUCUUUGGUGGAGAGGAAUGCUUCGUUUGACAUAAAAGAGCCAAUGACUCUGCACUUGUCAUGUUGACAGUCACUUGUCUUAUUUUUGUUGGCAAUGUCUUUGUAAUGAACCCAUAUUGUAUUGAAAUGGAUAAUUGGAAUUACACCUACAAUUAUAAGAGUUCAUCAUUCUAAUUGCUCCAAACUAGUAACAAAUCCUUCAAAAGAAAAAAGUAGAAAUAAAAAGGAAGAAUGGAGGGAGGUUCCAAAUUAAUCUAAGCAACUAAGAAAUAAGAGACAAGUUCAUAGCAUAAUCCUAAUUGAGUAUUUUCCUCUUCUAUAUAUAAGAAUCUUCCCAGGGUCCCAAAUGUAAUUUGAUAUCUUCUCACGUAGGUCCUCCAGCUAAGUUAUAUUGUUCGUUUGACAUAAAAGAGUCUGAAUGUUGGCAAAAUUAAAUCAAGUGAGUGAGUUUUAAACUUUGAAUUAACGAAGAAUAAAUUCAAAUAAAGCUCUCCAUCACUUAAAAUUCUUCUUGAUUUCUUGACUUACUCUCGGGUGGUCUAUGUGUAAUAUAAGCCCCCACUUGCUGUAAGACUGGAGUACUAGAGAUGUCAAAUUGUCCAAGACUAGAUUAAUCUACAUUACUAGCAAAGAAAUUAGAAAAUGAUGACAAAACCAAGUCAAGUAUCCUGACACAAAUAUUUUCCAAAAAAUAACUUUCAUCUGAACAACAUUUCCAAGCAUGUUUAUCGGUCUGCAAUCAAGUUUGAGCUGUAAGCUACUAUUGGGGUUUCCAUUGUCAGAGUCACUGAAGUUAAAACGCUUAUGUUUAUCAUUGCUUUAUCAUCUAGUUCAAGGUAUCCCUCAAUUUUCAUUUUUUUUAUUCAGUUGUUGGGUCAUGACCAGGUGACUACUAGAAAGUGUUGAUAAUCUCAAGAAGAGAAGUAAUGCUUCUUGUUAAAAUCCAAGAGAAUGCCCAUGGGAAAUAACGUUUAUAUGAGCCUAGCUAUUUCAACUUAUCCUUGCCCUUUGCAUUAUCUUUUCGUUUCGGGAAGACAUCCGACUGCACCAUGGGGCCUCUCUUGAAUGAUAUGGAAGUAAAAAAAUAUGUGAAGAGAACUGAUGGCUUUUUAGACAGUAUAACUAUGUCUUUCUUUGAACAUUAUUAUUAUAUGGUUCGUCACUUCGUUGAAAUGAUUAUCUGCAGAUUAUUUCAUUAGAAUGUUUUUUCUGUUAUAAUGAGCACCUUUGUUUGUUAAUUUCAAAAUAGUUAGGUCCAUUAUCUUUUUUUAUGUGUUGCAGGACCAGUUAUUUCCAGUUUAGUGUCGCACUACUUUUCUACCAAUUGGAUAAAUGAAGGUGGUGUGACCCAUGCUUACCGAUCCCAGUUUAGUCUCAUACUACUCUUUUUCGAGCCAGGGCAAGUGAAAGUAACUAAAAUUACAUGUUGAGUUUAUAUAUAGUUAGUUCUUUGAUUGAAGAAAUGAAGAGCAGGCAGGAGGAUAACAUCACAAUUGUAGACACGUAAUUUUUUAUCAAACUUAAGUUUUACAUCAUUUUUAGAGCUUAAAUAUUUUUAUAAAAAUCUAAAUUAAAUAUUUUGACUUUUACCUUAUUUUAUUAACUUUAUUUUAAAGGAUUUGAAAACAACAAAAACAUAAUCAUAUUUUUUGGUAGGUUUUAUUUUAUUUUAUUUUUAUGUUAUUAUUAUUAUUUUUUUCUUCUUCUUUUCUUUUUAUUUUUUCAUUUUUAAAAAAAAAAAGAAAUGAAAAUUUAUAAAAGGAUUAUAUGUUUUAUUUUAAUUUAGUUUAAUAAAUAAGCAAUAUUUUUUUUACUAUUAGCUGCUUAACUUUUUUAGUUUAAAAAGUAUAUUAUAUUAAGACUGGCGGUAAUCCGCGCGGUCAACUUCAAUCUAGUUUAUUAGCAUCCGAAUUCAAGGAAUAAAUUCAAAUCGAAAUAUAUACAAUUUUUUAUAUAGUUUUAUGACUGUAUGGAAGGAUCUAUCCUUUUACUUGAGCAAGGGAUCUGUCAAGAUUUAAUACAUAUUUUUAUUGAGCCAUGUGUCUAGCAGUUCUAAUCGGGUAUAGGCGCCCUUUUCAACUCCUUAACGGGCUUAGAGCCACGGCUGGCUAGACGAAGUCACAAAGACAAAGCCAAUAAAAAUAAUAUCGAAUCUGACUGUAUCACCAUCUUAGAACCAAGUCAAGAAACCAUAUAUAAGUUUAUUUAUAUUUUGAUGAAGUCUAGAUCUUUCAUGGUAAAUAUAAAAGAGAAGCUAGUUAUCCGACAUAGAUAUGAAUCUUUAGCCAGACAUAGUCACAACUCAGAUCGGAGGAAUACUAAAAGAUGUAAUCAGAAAUAAUAUAAUACCUUAUAACGAUGGCCAACUCCAAGGCCUAUGAUUGAACUAUACAAGUUGUAUUUACUUUUGGCCAAUAUCCGGUAAACUGAGAGCUUUACAAGAGAGAUUUACAGUUGGAGAGAGAAAGUAGAGAGAUGUG